GGGUGGGGUGGGGAGCGCAGUAUAAAGGGUCGGAGGCGGCGCGGGCCGAGACCUAGACGUGGCGCGUCCACUCUCCCGGCCUCCGCUCCAGCUACAUCGAUAAACUGCCACCUCCGAGGGGAGCCGCAGGGAGGGGGCUGAAGAGAAUGUCACCUGGUGGAGCUGCCGAUGCUGCUGUGGUCAGGAGUGACCUUCAAGGGAAACCUCGGUAUCUGUGACCUUUACGACGCCCGGGACUGUAUUAGUGUCAUGAAAAACCCCAGUCCAGAAAUCAUGGCUUAUGGAUAUUUACAUCUUAACUGGAUUUUCCUACAAACAAGCCAGGAACGCAUUACAGUCUCCAGAAAUGUUCCUUUUUUCUACUGUUUUCCUUUUUUAAGAUGUGGCAUUUAAGAAUUGAAAAAACUGCUAGAUCCUCUGAUCAGCCCCAUUAGUUUUUUUCUUAAAAUGGCCAUUGAUAAAACGACAUGCAGUUUUUAUGCCUCACUAAGAUUGCCUCAUGCUGGUUUUGGUUCAUAUAGUAUUUUAAGUAUUUGAAAGACUCAUGAUAUGGCUACAGAUAAUGCUGUGAUGCUUCCCAAAGUCUUGAGAGAAGAAUCACCAAGUAGGGAGAGUUCAGGGAGCCAUCAGCCCCGACUCAAGUCCCUUGAGCUGCACCAGGGUUCUUUAGGGUUUUUACCCCUAGAAAUGCUCACUCCCCCUUUAGUGUAGCAGCCCACUCCCAUGACAGAGGUAAGCAGGCUAGUUUUAUUCAAAACAACAGCCAGAAACUAAAACAGAAUACAAACAAAAUAGUAUGGCACAUCUGAGAAGGAGCUGGGGAUGGGACAAAGUGUGGGGUCCUGGACCUUAAAGGGAAGGACCAGGGCAACCACAAGGGCACCUGCUGGCCAGCCCUCUGCCUGUCAGUGCACUGGACACUUCAUCACACUCCCUUCUCUGGAGUCUGAGUUCCACCCACCCCCACCCAGGGCCUGCUUCCAGCUUCUCAUGUCUGCCAGCAACGUUUUGCUCCUGCCAGCUGUACCACAGAGGCUGGCACAGAGCAACCUGGUCAUCAUCCAACCCAGGUGAGCUUCCUCACCUUUGCGCUCUCUAGACUAGAGCUCACUCCACAGGUGAAAACCACCUCCGCAAGUAUUUUUGCCUUGUCUUUUUUGUUUGUUAUUUUUCUUUUUAUUGCCUUGUCUUUAUGGUUAAAUUUCUUGAUAUAUUUUUCUAGUAACCCAAUUCCCUUACAAUAAAAUUGCUGUGCUCGAAAUA